UAUACCUAUUCGAAGGGAUAGGGUCGGUUCGGCCGGGUUUCACACAGGUGUUGCAUGGCUGUCGUCAGCUCGUGUCGUGAGAUGUUGGGUUAAGUCCCGCAACGAGCGCAACCCUCAUCCUUAGUUACCAUCAAGUAAUGCUGGGGACUUUAAGGAAACUGCCAGUGAUAAACUGGAGGAAGGUGGGGAUGAUGUCAAGUCAUCAUGGCCCUUAUGGAGUGGGCUACACACGUGCUACAAUGGUGGCUACAAUGGGCUGCAAAGUCGCGAGGCUAAGCUAAUCCCUUAAAAGCCAUCUCAGUUCGGAUUGUACUCUGCAACUCGAGUGCAUGAAGUUGGAAUCGCUAGUAAUCGUGGAUCAGCACGCCACGGUGAAUACGUUUUCGGGUCUUGUACACACUGCCCGUCACGCCAUGGGAAUUGGUUUCACUCGAAGCU
rnacentral:rRNA from 1 species